rnacentral:rRNA from 1 species
AGAGUUUGAUCAUGGCUCAGGACGAACGCUGGCGGCGUGCCUAACACAUGCAAGUCACACGAGAAAGCGACUUUCGGGUUGUGAGUAGAGUGGCGAACGGGUGAGUAACACGUAGGUAACUUAGCUAUAGGUUUGGGAUAACCUUGCCAACGCGAGGCUAAUACCGGAUAGAGUAAUUUAGCGCAUGUUAGAUUAUGAAAGAUGGCCUCUACUUGUAAGCUAUCGUCUGUAGAUAGACCUGCGUCUCAUUAGCUAGUUGGUAGGGUAAAGGCCUACCAAGGCGACGAUGAGUAGCCGGCCUGAGAGGGUGUCCGGCCACACUGGGACUGAGAUACGGCCCAGACUCCUACGGGAGGCAGCAGUGAGGGAUAUUGCGCAAUGGUCGAAAGACUGACGCAGCAACGCCGCGUGGGUGAUGAAGCUCUAAGGAGUGUAAAGCCCUGUUAGAAGGGAAGAAAAGUAGAUGAGUGAAUAAUUCAUUUAUCUGACGGUACCUUCAGAGAAAGCCCCGGCUAACUCCGUGCCAGCAGCCGCGGUAAUACGGGGGGGGCAAGCGUUGUCCGGAAUUACUGGGCGUAAAGAGCGCGUAGGUGGGAUGAUAAGUUGAGGGUGAAAACUUGCGGCUUAACCGUAAGCUUGCCUUUAAGACUGUCAUUCUUGAGUGCGAAAGAGGGAAGUGGAAUUCCUGGUGUAGCGGUGAAAUGCGUAGAUAUCAGGAAGAACACCGGUAGCGAAGGCGGCUUCCUGGUUCGCAACUGACACUGAGGCGCGAAAGCGUGGGGAGCGAACAGGAUUAGAUACCCUUGUAGUCC